AUGGGGCUGCUAACGCGUGAGUGUGUGAAUGAACUAAGGACAGCCCACGACCGCGUUGCUGGAGGGUUGGAUAAUCUUGAACGGUUUCUGCAAACAAUUAACAAGCUCGUGGAACAAUCUCGAAUGGCUUCAGAGUUGAUCACCGCGGCCGAAAACACAGUUAGGGAACACACCAGUCAGAAAGAGCAGCUUCAACAGAAGAUGCAAGACGAAGCUGUCCUGAAGGAGCAGCUGCAGAAGAAGAUCGAGGAGGGAGCUGCCUUGAAGGAGCAGCUGCAGACUCAGAUGCAAGAGAAUGCGUCUUUGAAGGAGAAGAUACAGAAGAAGGACCAAGAAAAUGCCAUCUUGAAGGAUCAAGUAAAAUCUUUGAAGGAGCAGAUGCAGAAGAAGGACCAAGGAAAUGCCAUCUUGAAGGAAAGUUAA
rnacentral:rRNA from 1 species